rnacentral:rRNA from 1 species
AAACAUCUUUUAUUGGAAUUUAUUUUAGAUAAGGCCUGCCCAGUGAUUAUUAUUAAAUGGCCGCGGUAUUUUGACCGUGCAAAGGUAGCAUAAUCAUUAGUUUAUUAAUUGUUAACUUGUAUGAAUGGUUUGACGAAACAUUUGCUUUCUUUUUUGUAUUUAUUGAAUUUAAAUUUUGAGUUAAAAUGCUUAAAUUUCUUUAUAAGACGAGAAGACCCUAUAGAUCUUUAUUGUAGUUAAUUUAUUUUGUUUUAGUUUAUUUUUUUAUUAAGUUAUUUUUAAUUUUGUUGGGGUGACAUUGGAAUAUAAUUAACUUCUAAUUUUUGUAUACAUUUAUUUUUGUAUGUUUGAAUUUUUAUUAUUAUUUUAAGUUUAAGAUACCUUAGGGAUAACAGCGUAAUUUCUUUUGAGAGUUCUUAUUGACAACGAAGAUUGCGACCUCGAUGUUGGAUUAAGAUUAUUAUUGGGUGUAGGUGCUCAAGUUAAUAAGUCUGUUCGACUUUUAAAAUCUUACAUGAUCUGA